rnacentral:rRNA from 1 species
AACGAACGCUGGCGGCAGGCUUAACACAUGCAAGUCGAGCGCCCCGCAAGGGGAGCGGCAGACGGGUGAGUAACGCGUGGGAACAUACCCUUUCCUGCGGAAUAGCUCUGGGAAACUGGAAUUAAUACCGCAUACGCCCUACGGGGGAAAGAUUUAUCGGGGAAGGAUUGGCCCGCGUUGGAUUAGCUAGUUGAUGGGGUAAAGGCCUACCAAGGCGACGAUCCAUAGCUGGUCUGAGAGGAUGAUCAGCCACAUUGGGACUGAGACACGGCCCAAACUCCUACGGGAGGCAGCAGUGGGGAAUAUUGGACAAUGGGCGCAAGCCUGAUCCAGCCAUGCCGCGUGAGUGAUGAAGGCCUUAGGGUUGUAAAGCUCUUUCACCGGAGAAGAUAAUGACGGUAUCCGGAGAAGAAGCCCCGGCUAACUUCGUGCCAGCCGCCGCAGUAAGAC